CCUACGAGUGGCAGCAGUGGGGAAUAUUGCACAAUGGGGGGAACCCUGAUGCAGCGACGCCGCGUGAGUGAAGAAGUAUUUCGGUAUGUAAAGCUCUAUCAGCAGGGAAGAAAAUGACGGUACCUGACUCAGAAGCCCCGGCUAACUACGUGCCAGCAGCCGCGGUAAUACGUAGGGGGCAAGCGUUAUCCGGAUUUACUGGGUGUAAAGGGAGCGCAGACGGCUGUGCAAGUCUGGAGUGAAAGGCGGGGGCCCAACCCCCGGACUGCUCUGGAAACUGUAAAGCUGGAGUGCAGGAGAGGGAAGCGGAAUUCCUAGUGUAGCGGUGAAAUGCGUAGAUAUUAGGAGGAACACCAGUGGCGAAGGCGGCUUACUGGACUGCAACUGACGUUGAGGCUCGAAAGCGUGGGGAGCAAACAGGAUUAGAUACCCUGGUAGUC
rnacentral:rRNA from 1 species